rnacentral:lncRNA from 1 species
CUUUAAUAUCUGGAGCUCAUAGGUGGGAGAUAAUGUAUACACACUUACAAGACAUUUAUUGUAUAGUCAAGCCAUGGAUCCAGAGAAACAAGUCAAUAAGUCAAAUCAAGAUGUGCAUGUGUGGCGAAUGAAUGGUAUAUGAUGAUGAUGGUGAUAGCAAUGGUGAAAGUCUAAUUCUACUUUUGCUCUUUUGAGGGGAUACAUACCUUUCUUGCUCUUUUGAAACUUUUUGAGGAGAAUGAGAUGCUCUAUAUUUUCUCUUUUUUUUUCUUUCCUCUCAGGUGGGUAUCUUGUACCCCUAAUUAUACUGUCGGACACUUGUAACACCCCAGUGUUAUGGUUGCAUAAAUCACAUGCAUAACAUGAGCAUCAUUACUUACUCAAGCAUAUCAUGAUCAUCAUUUACCUUGAGCCAUGUCAUUCUAUGCAAAAAUGUGAUUUAAGUGGUUUAAAUAGGCUUCCUAUGUUUAUGUUUGUGUGAACCAUGCUUGUGUUUGUGCUCUAUGCCUUGGUAAUUAGUUUAUCUAUGCUUAACUCAACCUUAGGAACAAUGUUCAUGUUGAUCACUUUUCCAAAAUAAUCACUUAUGUCAUACUUACACAAAUAGGCCCUAGAAACCUCUGUUGCUUAGGCUUUUAAAAAGUGUUUCAUAAAAUGUUUGCAUG